rnacentral:tRNA from 1 species
UGGCUUAGUUGGUUGAAGCGCCGUUCUACAAAAUUUGGAGUCGUGGGUUCAAAUCCCAC